UGGGGAAUAUUGCACAAUGGGCGCAAGCCUGAUGCAGCCAUGCCGCGUGUAUGAAGAAGGCCUUCGGGUUGUAAAGUACUUUCAGUCGGGAGGAAGGUGUCAAGGUUAAUAACCUUGGCAAUUGACGUUACCGACAGAAGAAACACCGGCUAACUCCGUGCCAGCAGCCGCGGUAAUACGGAGGGUGCAAGCGUUAAUCGGAAUUACUGGGCGUAAAGCGCACGCAGGCGGUUGAUUGAGUCAGAUGUGAAAUCCCCGGGCUUAACCCGGGAAUUGCAUCUGAUACUGGUCAGCUAGAGUCUUGUAGAGGGGGGUAGAAUUCCAUGUGUAGCGAUGAAAUGCGUAGAGAUGUGGAGGAAUACCGGUGGCGAAGGCGGCCCCCUGGACAAAGACUGACGCUCAGGUGCGAAAGCGUGGGGAGCAAACAGG
rnacentral:rRNA from 1 species